rnacentral:rRNA from 1 species
UUCCGUAGGUGAACCUGCGGAGGGAUCAUUACUGAGUGAGGGCUCACGCCCGACCUCCAACCCUUUGUGAACCAAACUUGUUGCUUCGGGGGCGACCCUGCCGACGACUCCGUCGCCGGGCGCCCCCGGAGGUCUUCUAAACACUGCAUCUUUGCGUCGGAGUUUAAACAAAUUAAACAAAACUUUCAACAACGGAUCUCUUGGUUCUGGCAUCGAUGAAGAACGCAGCGAAAUGCGAUAAGUAAUGUGAAUUGCAGAAUUCAGUGAAUCAUCGAAUCUUUGAACGCACAUUGCGCCCUUUGGUAUUCCGAAGGGCAUGCCUGUUCGAGCGUCAUUUCACCACUCAAGCCUGGCUUGGUAUUGGGCGUCGCGGUGUUCCGCGCGCCUUAAAGUCUUCCGGCUGAGCUGUCCGUCUCUAAGCGUUGUGGAUUUUUCAAUUCGCUUCGGAGUGCGGGUGGCCGCGGCCGUUAAAUCUUUAUUCAAAGGUUGACCUCGGAUCAGGUAGGGAUACCCGCUGAACUUAAGCAUAUCAAUAAGCGGAGGAA